CAAUCAGAUCUCUGGACCUUUAACAUCUCAGAACAUUACUGACAACUUCAACAUUAGAAGUCUUUAAUGGAGGUUAAAAGCUUUUAAAGGAUUAAUGAAUAAAAGGAUGAGUAGAAAGUUGAAUUAUAAGCAAGUUCAGAUAUGAAGAGAGCUUCAUUAGUUUUAUUAACUUAGUCUCCGUCUCUGUUGUAAAGCCGUCACUGUCUCUAGUUUAUCUCUUAGCUGUCUGGUUUGUUCACUCUGUGUUUGUGUUGCAGGAAUGGGUCGCUUCCUCAGCGGAGUCACCGAUGAGAUGAAGCAGAAUCACAGAGAAAGACUUGUUGCUGUCACUCACCAAAGUCUGGUGGAAGUGGCUGAAAGAUACCUCGGCGUCGGUCAGAGGACGUGUGGAGUUGCUAUCUUGGGUCCAGAGAACGAGGCGAUUAAAAAAGAUCCCUCAUGGAUCGUAAAAUAAUCCAGUCUGUAGGUAACUUGUGAUUUAAAUACUCAACUGGACUUCUGGAGAAUCACAGCUGCAAGACUUAUUCUGUACUGAAUGCUGAAAGUCUACGGUUAGGAUUUUUUAUUAAAGAGUCAAAAAGCUGAAGCGCACAAUAUCAAGAGGAGGACUGAGAGCUGCUGUCAUGGUUCAGAUACGUCUUCAUUCUGUAUAUAUUUAAUGAAAUAUAUGAUCAUGUUGGAAUACA